rnacentral:rRNA from 1 species
AUUGAACGCUGGCGGCAGGCCUAACACAUGCAAGUCGAGCGUGCGGCGGACGGGGGAGUAAUGUAUGGGGACUGCCCGAUAGCUAGGGAUAACUAAUGGAAACGGUAGCGAAAAACGCGUAUUAUCGGAUAAACCAUUUGGGAUUAGAUAGUAGGUGAGGUAAUGGCUCACCUAGGCGACGAUCCCUAGCUGGUCUGAGAGGAUGAUCAGCCACACUGGGACUGAGACACGGCCCAGACUCCUACGGAGGCAGCAGUGGGGAAUAUUGCACAAUGGGCGCAAGCCUGAUGCAGCCAUGCCGCGUGUAUGAAGAAGGCCCUAGGGUUGUAAAGUACUUUCAGUCGGGAGGCGUUACCGACAGAAGAAGCACCGGCUAACUCCGUGCCAGCAGCCGCGGUAAUUC